rnacentral:tRNA from 1 species
GGGGAUUUAGCUCAGUGGUAGAGCACUUGCCUAGCAAGCACAAGGCCCUGGGUUCAAUCCCCAGCUCCG